GUGAGAUAAACAAACUGCUUUUCUUUAUGAAUUACCUAACCUCGGGUAUUCCUUUAUAGCAAUGCAAAAUAGACUAAGACACUAACUGACUUUUAAAAUCUUUUAUAUAUGGGGCACAAGGGAUGGUUGACUUUUGUGUGUAGAUGGUCUGCUGAGAAGCUGAGAUCCUAGAGAAUUUGGCAGGAAAGAAAUAUGGGUUGUACUUUAUUUGUGGCUGGCAAAAUUUUAUUUAGCUGCCUUUGAGAUGCCUCUGGAUCUUGUGAGGACUGCUUUGCACCUCUUUGGAGAUGUCUCACGCAUUCUUAUUUAAGUCAUAACCUUAGUUAAGGGGUUUUGGUUUUGGUGAGUUAUUUGAAAGAUAACUUCGGGGGGGAAGUUUGAAAGCCAAAAAUAUUGGCUGUUUGUCCCAGCUAAAAUUUCAUCAUGAGAGAUUUAAAAUUUUUUUUUUUUUUUUAAAAAAAGCUCUAUGGUCAGAAGUCAGCUUAAUUAAAAGCUGAUAUUCAGACUAUAAUACUUUUUUAAAAAAUAAAAGUUCCUUCUACUUUUUCUCUUUUGGAUUCUGCUAGUGGGAUUUACUUUUCAGUCAACUGAAACCCCCUUUUAAUUAUGUGAUUGGUUAUUCUGUUUCCUUUUUAUCUUUUUCACAUGAUUUUUGCUAAGAAAAAUGUAAAUCUUCAUUGGCCCUUCUGGAAAGCUUAAAAUAUCCAAAUUGGUACAUCUAAGACUUGUUAUUUCAUUUUCUUUCACUUCUACUCCUCCUUCUUUUUUGCCAUCUUCAAUUCCACAUAAAGAAAUCUAGACAGGACUUCUAGCAGCUCUAAGACCCCUUAAGGAACACAGAAAAAGUGCCACACACCCCCUUUUCGGGGUCAUAUAUUUUUCUCAUGGAUCCCCAAGAGUUGUGGACAGGUUCCUCUCAGUUCUAAGGCUCUGCUGUUUUGCAUUAAAUUCCGUGAUCUCUCUAACUUCUGGGGGUACCAGGAAUUACUUCGUACUGUGAGAGAAAACUUAAUCUUUGUGUGUGUGAUAGCUAGUGGGUCACCAGCAAAGGCUGCAAUUCUGGGGGGUGGCUGAGAGCAGUUACAAUGGAUGGUUAUUACUGUAUGGGGCUAUUCAUUUGUUUGUGCAUUUAGAUCAGAAAAGUGAGGUUUGGAAACUUGGAGGCUAUGGCUACAUCACAUCAUCAAGGGAUAAGACUCCCAUGGGGGAUGAACUGAUCACAGAGUGGGCUGAUUGACAUUGGGUUACCUUUGCCGUGAGGUGCCGUGAGGUACCCUGUGGAAGUGUUGCACAGCUUGGUCCUGUGGCAUUUCCUUUUUUUUUUUAAGGUCCCAGGAUUCACUGUAAAAAAUGAGGUUCUUGAUUUCUGAGGAUCUAGACGAUUUGCCUUCCUACUGCUUCUGCUUUUCACUAUAUAAGUGAAAAGACCUCAAAAGCUGCAAAUGUUUUGUUUGCGCUAUUCAUUAAUGGGCUCUACCCUGAGGUCAGUGGUCCAGUUUUAAAAUGGAGACUAAAUUAAAAGCCACCUAUCUAACUAAAAUUGGUCUCCUUAUAAAAUCCUCUGGUGAUUCUCAAUGAUUUUGUGUUACCUUAGUAUUCAUUUUAAUUUUCCUCUAACAUACCCAAAUUCUUUCUUCAAAAAGCUUAAAUUCUCUCUUUGUGCAUUGAGAUGUAAAUUUGCAACCCUGGUUUCUCUAAAACUCAAUAAGCACUUCAACCAUGCGGGACAAAUAAACUUUAUUUAAAAAUAUUUUUUAUUUUUUAUUCUUUUAGAGACAGGGUCUCACUCUGUCACCCAGGCUGGAGUGCAAUGUUAUGAUCCUAGCUCAGGGUCACCUCAAAUUCCUGGGCUGAAACUAUCCUCCCACCUCAGCUUCCCAAGUAGCUGGGACUCCAGGCACACACCGCCAUGCCUAACUAAUUUCUUUAUUUUUUAUGUUUUAGUAUAGACGGGGUCUUGCCUUGUUGCCCAGGCUAGUAUUGAACUCCUGGCUUCAAGUGAACCCCCUCCUGCGUGAGGCAUUGCACCCAGCCCAGACAAUCUUUAACUUGUUUCAUUUACAGAGGCACAAAUUAAUCUAACUGUCCUUUUAAACUAGUGAGUUUUAUCUGUCUCAUGACUAAAAUUUUAAAAUAAAAGCAAAUAUAGUUUACAUAUUUUCCCUACCCAAAUCUUAUGUUGAAUUGUAAUCCCGAAUGUUGGAAUUGGGGCCUGCUGGGUGGUGUUCGGGUCAUGGGGGUAGAUCUCUCAUGGCUUGAUGCUGUCCUCAGGAUAGUGACUGAGUUUUCCUGUAAUCUAGUUGGUUAAAGUGUGUGGCACCUCCCCCACUCUCUCUCUUGCUCCUGCUUUGCCAUGUGAAAUGCCUGCUCCCAUUUUGCUCUCUGCCAUGAGUAAAAGCUUCCUGAGGCCUCACGAGAGGCUGAGCAGAUGCCAGCACUAUGCUUCCUGUACAGCCUGCAGAAUCAUGAGCCAAUGAAAUCUCUUUUCUUUAUAAAUUACCCAGUCUCAAGUAUUUCGUUAUAAAACAGCCUAGCAAAAAAGCUAUAAAAUCUUUAUUUGUGUUUGUAUAUUAUGUAUAAAUGUGUAUAUGUCUGUGUUUGUAUAUUGUCUACAUGGUACUGAGUUGACUUAUAAAUAAAUGAGUACUCAUAAAUUAAAUAAUCUCAAAAUUUUUAAAUUCAUAUGACUUUAGUAACCUUUGAUAUAAAAAGCAGAUUUUUAAAUUGUUGGUAAAAUAAAAUAGAAAUGUCUUCAGAGUUUUAGACUUCUUUAUCUUAAUCUACUGGUCAAACAAAUGUAUGUUGUUUCUGCUAAAUGUUUUAAGGUCAAAAAACUUGUUUCUGUGAUAUUUUUGAUAAUUGCUUGAUUUGUCUUUAAGCAUAUGUCUUUGGUUUUGAGCCUUUAGAUUCCAGAGUCUAGACAGGUGGUCAUGGUGAGGCUUCCACAGCACCUAGACCACCAGCUGCAGGGUAGAGUCAAGCCCGAUACAUCCUCCCUGGCCCAGCUCUGCCUCCUGGCCAUGCUGGAAGGGGAUAGAUCCUCCAUUAACUGUCUUCGCAGCUCUGUCAUUUGUCCUGGGCUUUGCAUUUGAUACAUAACAAUUAAAAUUGCUUUACUUCCUAGCUUUCUCACUCGAAAUUGGGGUUACUAGAGUUAAAAUUGUAGAUAAUAUAUGUAAUUAAAACUACUAGAUAUAAGAGAAAUAAUUCUAUAUAAAGAGUGUACAAAGAAUGUAGGAUGUGUUUUGGGUGAGGAAGGUUAUAAGAAAAACAUGAAGCCAUAUGCUGUGGCUCAUGCCUGUAAUCCCAGCACUUUGGGAGGCUGAGGCAGGAGGACUGCUUGAGCCCAGGAGUUCACGACUAGCCUGGGCAACAUAGGGAGACCCCAUUUCUACACACACACAACUUGAGAAUGUGGUUUUUGUUAAAGGAAAAGUAUUUUUUUUCUAGUUUAGAGGUUAUUUGAAGGCUCCUUUAAGUUGAAAGGAUAAAAAAGAAUGACAGGAAAAACUGAAUGGAUAUAAAAAAUUGGGGAAAGAAAGAGAAUUGAAAAAAUUGUGAGAGAUUAUAAAAUGUUCAUGCAAAUCUUUUCUGUAGUCAAAGCUGAUUGAGAUUAGAUGGAUUUGUUUAUAUUUUAUUAAAUUAACUUUAGUGUUAAUAAUACACUGAUGAAAAGUACAAUUUGGUUUUCUCUUUUGAACAAGAUUUUCAUGUAGUACUAAUAAGAAAUGGUAAAAUAUUUGUUCACCUUUUCAGUAAAAAAGGAAGAAGACUUUGCCUCAUGCUGUCUUUAUUAGGUCUUUUGAUUGUUUGGAAAACUUGAUCUCCUCUCUAUCAAAUAGUAAAGGGUUUUUUUUCACUUUUUGAAAUCUUUUAAUUAUCAUUUUGACUAAAUGAAUGACUAAUAUUUUAUAGUGACUUGUGAUCUUAUUUUGAUAUCAAGUGUUUUAAACCUUUAAUAUUUGACAAACAUCCCAAAAUCAAAUUUCAAAUUCUAAAUUAAGUGUUUUUUAAGCUUGAACUAAAUAUUUGGACAUUCCAAAAAGAGCCCCUGGAAGUCCAAGAGAGACAUAUUAGGCUUAUUUGGUAUGUUAAAAUUAUAUGGGAAGCAUUGUCAAAUAAAAAGUGAUGUCUAACUUUCUUUGAGUUAUAUUCAUAUGGAUAUGUUAUUAAUGUAUUCCAAAAUUGUAUGAGAUUCCUAAAAUAUUAUAUAUCUUGGUAUAUUCAGUAAAUUGCUUAAUUCUGAUGCUCUUUUUCUAAAAGCUCUCUGUUCAUUCUAAAGUGAUGUGUCUUCAAGGAAGUUCAUGGGAAAGACUGAUAGGUAAUCUGAAAUACAGUCCUCUGCUUAUGACUUUGAGAUUACACAAUUGGACUGGGGGGUAGAAAGUUAAAAAGAAAACUCUAAUGAAAAAUUAGACAUAAAAUUGGAAAAUUGCUAACCUAACAUCAAGUAGAACAAGAACAUGAGACUAAAGUGAUGAAGGGCUGAAAUGAUUUUUCAUGACUUUUUGCUUAAACAUGGAUGAUUCUUUUUCUGUUUUGUUUUCUAGAAUCAAGAAACCUUUUUCCCUCUGAAGCUAUUCAUAGCUUAGAGUAAUUGGGUGAAAUAUAGUUUUGUAAGAAAAUGGAAACAUUUACCUCAUAGGAAUGUUUUCUUCUUUAACAGGACACAAUUGAAAACACUGGUUAUAUUACAAAAGCUUUGACUGGUAAUUUUGUGUCAUAUUUUCAAAUGUGACCAGGCUGCUUUGAGGAAUUGCAGUUUACUUUAAAGCCAACAGACUUGGAAAAAGACUGGCCGGGUACCAUAUCUACACUGUUCCCUUACAGGGUUCCUGACCUUGUGAAAAGAAAACUGAGUAAUGACCUACAGACAUGGUUAAUCAGUUAUACCCUUCUCCUGACAUACAGCUAAUCACCAUAGACUAAUGCAGACCUCCUUAUGAAACAGGCGUUUCUACCUCCAAGGGAAAAAGAUAACAAAUCUUUGGCUGACCAACUGAUGUUUAUCAGCAAUGCUUCCUCACAUCAAAUCUUUAUCAAAAUGAAGAAAUGUGAAAUGUGAUAUACAAAACAGUAUCACUUGGUUCAGAGCUCUAAAAUGGAGUCAAGAAGCCACUCUAUUACUACCUACACAACAUGAAACCCUGCAGGAAAAAAAAAAAGGAACAGGAACUUGCCUUGAACCUUUGAACUGGGCUAAACUACAAUGACCACAUCUUAGAAAGCAGCUGAAUUUCACCAGCACUGCAACUCCUGCAUAGCAACAACCAAUGUACCAUGGACUUAUGUACUAAGCCAGCCACCUCCACCAAUGAUAAUUCUUUCAAAACAACUUGUGCAAUCACUCUCGGCAUCCUUUGAAAAAUUCCUACUCUCCUUCCUGUCUUUGGAAAACAAUUUGGCUCUUAGCCAAAUCCGUGUCUCCCAAAUUGCAACUUUUAAGGCCUCAAAUGCCUAGUCUUACUGCAUUGCACUCUGGUGUUUUGCCCCUUCUUACUUGACAUAUUAUACUUACAUCUCCAUUUCUAGUUGUGUUGAUUUUUUUAUUUUUUUAUUUUUAUUUUUAUUUUUGGAUAGUGUCUCACUCUGUCACCCAGGCUGGAGUACAGUGAUGCUGUCAGGGCUCACUGCAGUCUUGACCACCUGGGUUCAAGUGAUCCUCCCGCCUCAGCCUCCCAUGUAGCUGGGACUACAGGCAUGCACCACCAUGCCUGGCUAGUUUUCUUACUUUUGGUAGACACAUGGUUUCACCAUGUUGCCCAGGCUGGUCACAAACUUCUGGGUUCAAGUGAUCCACCUGCCUUGGCCUCCCGAAGUGCUUGUAUUACAGGUGUAAGCCACUGUGCCUGGCCUUGUAUCAACUUUUUGAUAGUAUCUCUUGACAGAAUGUAAAUGUGAGUAAUACAGACUCAGCAUGGUAGAGAAAUGAUAUAUGAAGGAGUGGUAUUACAGAGACAGGAUAGAUUAUUCGAUAAAUUCGGCUCUGGGACAAUUGGAUAUCAAACCAUAUGCCCUAUUCAAAAAUCAGUUGUUGGUGGAUCAAAAUUUUAUUUUAAAACUUUAUUUUUUAAAUAAAUUUUUGUUUUAUUUUAUCAUAUAUAUGUGUGUGUGUGUAUAUAUAUAAGCAUCUGCAUGGAAUUUUUCCCAUCUUUUUAAGUGUUUGAGGGUACACAGUAGAUAUAUAUAUAUUUAUGGGGUACAUAAAAUAUUUUCUACAGGCAUGCGAUGCAAAAUAGUCACAUCAGAGUGAAUGGGGUAGCCAUCCCCCCAGGCACUUAUUCUUUGUAUUAUAAACAAUCCAAUUGUACUCUUUUAGUUAUUUUGAAAUAUAGAACUUAAUUAUUUUUGACUACAGUCACCCUGUAGUGGUAGCAAAAUACUAAGUCUUAUUCAUUCUUUCAAACUAUUUUUGUACCUUUUAACCAUGCCCAACUCCCGCCUGCCCAGGACCCCACUACCCUUUGCAGCCUCUGGUAGCCAUCCUUCUACUCUCUAUGUCCAUAAGUUCACCUGUUUUGAUUUUUAGUUCCCACAAAUAAGUGAGAACAUGCAAAAUUUUUCUUUCUCUGCCUGCCUUAUUUCACUUAACAUCAUGACCUCAAGUUCCAUCCAUGUUGUUGCCAAUUACAGGAUCUCAUUCCUUUUUUAUGGCUGCACAGUACUCCAUUGCUUAUAUGUGCCAUAUUUUCUUUAUCCAUUUAUCUGUUGAUGGAGACUUAGGUUGCUUCCAAAGCUUGACUGUUAUGAAUAGUGCUGCAAUAAACAUGGAGUGCAGAUAUAACCUUGAUACACUGAUUUCCAUUCUUUUGUGUAUAUACCCAGGGGUGGGUGUAUAUACCCAGAGUGAAAUUCCGUCUCGGAAAAAAAAAAAAAAAAAAAAAAAAAGAGUUCUUUUGUGACCUAAAUAUGGUCUAUCCUUGAGAAAAUCUAUGUGCUGAGGAAAGAUGGUGUAUUUUACAGAUGUU
rnacentral:lncRNA from 10 species